rnacentral:rRNA from 1 species
GUAAGUUAUUAAGGGCACACGGUGGAUGCCUUGGCACUAAGAGCCGAUGAAGGACGUGUGAAUCUGCGAUAAGCCUCGGGGAGCCGAUAACUGGGCUGUGAUCCGAGGAUUUCCGAAUGGGGAAACCUGGCUCAUCUUCAUGGUGAGUUACCGCCAGCUGAAUGUAUAGGCUGGUUGGGGGGAACGCGGGGAAGUGAAACAUCUCAGUACCCGCAGGAAGAGAAAAUAAAGUAAUGAUUCUGUGAGUAGUGGCGAGCGAAAGCGGAAGAGACUAAACCUGUGGUGUGUGAUAGCGGUUAGGCGUUGCAUCAUGGGGGUUGUGGGAGUCACAGUGGCAGUUCUAACUGGCUGCCGGCAUGAUGUUCAGGAUGGUAGGUGAACGACUUGGAAUGGUCGGCCGUAGAGGGUGAGAGUCCCGUAAUCGAAAUUGUUCUGUCCGUGGUGUGGCCACCCGAGUAGCACGGGGCUCGUGGAAUCUCGUGUGAAUCUGCCAGGACCACCUGGUAAGUCUAAAUACUUCUUAGUGACCGAUAGUGAAUCAGUACCGUGAGGGAAUGGUGAAAAGUACCCCGGGAGGGGAGUGAAAUAGUACCUGAAACCGUGUGCUUACAAGCCGUUGGAGCCUUUUGGGGUGACAGCGUGCCUUUUGAAGAAUGAGCCUGCGAGUUAGUGUUAUGUCGCGAGGUUAACCCGUGUGGGGUAUCCGUAGCGAAAGCGAGUCUGAAUAGGGCGUUUGAGUGGCAUGACCUAGACCCGAAGCGGAGUGAUCUAUCCAUGGCCAGGUUGAAGCGACGGUAAGACGUCGUGGAGGACCGAACCCACUUCAGUUGAAAAUGGAGGGGAUGAGCUGUGGAUAGGGGUGAAAGGCCAAUCAAACUCGGUGAUAGCUGGUUCUCCCCGAAAUGCAUUUAGGUGCAGCGUUACGUGUUUCUUGCCGGAGGUAGAGCUACUGGAUGGCCGAUGGGCCUUCACGGGUUACUGACGUCAGCUAAACUCCGAAUGCCGGUAAGUGAGAGCGUAGCAGUGAGACAGUGGGGGAUAAGCUUCAUUGUCGAGAGGGAAACAGCCCAGACCACCAACUAAGGCCCCUAAGCGUGUGCUAAGUGGGAAAGGAUGUGGAGUUGCUUAGACAACCAGGAGGUUGGCUUAGAAGCAGCCAUCCUUGAAAGAGUGCGUAACAGCUCACUGGUCAAGUGAUUCUGCGCCGAUAAUGUAGCGGGGCUCAAGUACACCGCCGAAGUUGUGGCAAUGAUCUUUUUGGAUUGUUGGGUAGGGGAGCGUCGUGUAGCCGGUGAAGCUGCGGUGUAAACCAGUGGUGGAGGCUAUGCGAGUGAGAAUGCAGGCAUGAGUAGCGAAAGAUGAGUGAGAAACUCAUCCGCCGGAUGAUCAAGGGUUCCAGGGUCAAGUUAAUCUGCCCUGGGUUAGUCGGGGCCUAAGGCGAGGCCGACAGGCGUAGUCGAUGGAUAACGGGUUGAUAUUCCCGUACCGGUGAAAAACCGCCCAUACUGAUAUUGUGAUGCUAACCAUGCGAAGCAUGAUGUGCAGGCUUUUGUUUGUGUGUUGUGUGGGUUGUGGGACCCGAUCUUUGGAGGUAAACGUAUUAACAGGUGUGACGCAGGAAGGUAGCCAAGCCACGCGAUGGUUGUCGUGGUCUAAGCGUGUAGGGUUGUCGGUUGUUAAAUGCGCCGGCUGUGUGCCUGAGACGUGAUGGGACCCCGUUUUUGGGGGAUUUGGUGAUCCUAUGCUGCCGAGAAAAGCAUCGGCGUGAGGUUUUAGCCGCCCGUACCCUAAACCGACACAGGUGAUCAGGUAGAGAAUACUAAGGCGAUCGAGAGAAUCAUGGUUAAGGAACUCGGCAAAAUGCCCCCGUAACUUCGGGAGAAGGGGGACCUUGAGCGUGAUGGGCACUUGCUGCCUGGAGCGUGUAUGGGUCGCAGAGACCAGGGGGAAGCGACUGUUUAUCAAAAACACAGGUCCGUGCGAAGUCGUAAGACGAUGUAUACGGACUGACUCCUGCCCGGUGCUGGAAGGUUAAGAGGAUUGGUUAGCCUUUUUGGCGAAGCUGAGAAUUUAAGCCCCAGUAAACGGCGGUGGUAACUAUAACCAUCCUAAGGUAGCGAAAUUCCUUGUCGGGUAAGUUCCGACCUGCACGAAUGGCGUA